rnacentral:lncRNA from 1 species
GUUCUGUUCAGAGUCUCAAGGCAGGAAAGCGCUAGCCCUCUAAGGAUUUCUAUGGAUCCUGACCCAUAAAGAUUUCUGAUAUUAAUUUCUAAACAAAAUCAACAGUCAUCCUUAGUGAGAGAUCAUUCCAGUCCCGUCGUGGUGUUCAUAAGAAUAAAGCAGUCAACACCAUUACAAUAUCGUGGCAUCCUUCUUGAUCGAUACAGUCGUGUCUGCUUUUAAGCACGCUGCUCCUAGGGCGAAUCCUUACAGAUCCGUCAGUAAUACAUCCUCCCCCACCUCCGAAAACAGAAGCGUCUGUAAUGCUUUCAAAUAUAUUCAAAUGAGGCAUGCGGUUAGUGGUUUGGCAAAUCUUGAUUGCAAUAUAAACUACCCGAGCAAAAGUGCCUUCGCCCUAAAUUUGCCUUUCGAUUACAAUUCCAGUUGAUUUUAUUUUAUUGUCAACAUUGUUAAUGAUAAAAAUAGAGUCGCUUCGCAGUUAUUUUUACUUUCCGAAAGGAGGCAAUUAGACUUCUAAUCAGGAAUACACAAAAAAGAAAAAAAAUCUCCCAUGAUUAACUGCACUACUUUGUUCAAAUUGCAGCUAUAAAAUUCAGAACAAUUUGCCUGUAAUGAUUAUGGACUGGGUUUAUUUUGGGAGGUGGAAUAAAAGUGGAUAUAGCAUAAAUUAUCCUCUAAUUAUACACCAGUGUCGCCUCAAUUAUCCUCUUAUCAAAAUGGUUGUCUAACUGCCGCAUUUAGUUUCAAUUCUCUCUCAUUUUUUCUAUAAAAAGACCUUCAUACCUUGUUAUUAUUAAUCCAUUUAUUAUUUGCAAGGGGAUUUAUAGCUGAACAUCCAGGUGGUAUCGCCACAUCUCUCGCAAAGAUGGACCGGAGAAAGACAUUAAAUGGGAACCAACACCGCUGUGGAUCUAUUGCGUUCUCUUUUAGGAGAGGAAAUCGGCCUAUGGUGGUUUUUUCCGGGUUUUUUGUUUUUUAAAUCUGGCGUCCACUCAGGGGCAAAAAAGGAUCUUUGGAGAAUUACGGAAGAAGAGUCAGAUCUCAAUAAAUACAAUGACAAUCAGGAAUAUCAUGAUCGUGGACAGGGCCACAUGGAGUCAUGCUGAUGUUUUUGAGCUGCACCUCUCACCAUCGCUCACCGUUGGCUAUGUUAGGUAAGGCUGAUAGGAACUUAGCCCCAAAACAUACAUGGACCACAUUUGCACAACUUUGGGUUAAACUCUUAA